GAUGAACGCUGGCGGCGCGCCUAACACAUGCAAGUCGAACGGUUAAAGCAUCUUCGGAUGUGUAUAAAGUGGCGAACGGCUGAGUAACACGUGGGCAACCUGCCCUUUGCACUGGGAUAGCCUCGGGAAACCGAGGUUAAUACCGGAUACUCCAUAUUUGUCGCAUGGCGAAUAUGGGAAAGCUCCGGCGGCAAAGGAUGGGCCCGCGGCCUGUUAGCUAGUUGGUGGGGUAGUGGCCUACCAAGGCAAUGAUGGGUAGCCGGGUUGAGAGACCGACCGGCCAGAUUGGGACUGAGACACGGCCCAGACUCCUACGGGAGGCAGCAGUGGGGAAUCUUGCACAAUGGGCGAAAGCCUGAUGCAGCGACGCCGCGUGCGGGAUGAAGGCCUUCGGGUUGUAAACCGCUUUCAGCAGGGACGAGGCCGCAAGGUGACGGUACCUGCAGAAGAAGCCCCGGCUAACUACGUGCCAACAGCCGCGGUAAUACGUAGGGGGCAAGCGUUAUCCGGAUUCAUUGGGCGUAAAGCGCGCGUAGGCGGUCUGUUAGGUCAGGAGUUAAAUCUGGGGGCUCAACCCCUAUCCGCUCCUGAUACCGGCAGGCUUGAGUCUGGUAGGGGAAGAUGGAAUUCCAAGUGUAGCGGUGAAAUGCGCAGAUAUUUGGAAGAACACCGGUGGCGAAGGCGGUCUUCUGGGCCAUGACUGACGCUGAGGCGCGAAAGCUAGGGGAGCGAACAGG
rnacentral:rRNA from 1 species